GCAGGGUGAGUCGGCCCCUAAGGCGAGGCAGAGAUGCGUAGCUGAUGGGAAGCUGGUUAAUAUUCCAGCACCGUCGUACAGUGCGAUGGGGGGACGGAUCGCGGAAGGUCAUCAGGGUGUUGGACGUCCCUGUUGCUGCAUUGAAGAUGGCGCUUAGGCAAAUCCGGGCGCGAGAAUCAAGGGUGUGGCACGAGCGAGCAAGUCUCGCGAAGUGAUUGGAAGUGGUUCCAAGAAAAGCCUCUAAGCUUCAGCUGUACGAGACCGUACCGCAAACCGACACAGGUGGACGGGAUGAAUAUUCCAAGGCGCUUGAGAGAACUCAGGAGAAGGAACUCGGCAAAUUGAUACCGUAACUUCGGGAGAAGGUAUACCCUGGUAGUGUGAAGCGCCUGCGCGCUGAGCAUGAAGGGGUCGCAGAGAAUCGGUGGCUGCGACUGUUUAUUAAAAACACAGCACUCUGCAAAGACGAAAGUCGACGUAUAGGGUGUGACGCCUGCCCGGUGCCGGAAGGUUAAGUGAUGGGGUGCAAGCUCUUGAUCGAAGCCCCGGUAAACGGCGGCCGUAACUAUAACGGUCCUAAGGUAGCGAAAUUCCUUGUCGGGUAAGUUCCGACCUGCACGAAUGGCGUAACGAUGGCCACACUGUCUCCUCCUGAGACUCAGCGAAGUUGAAGUGUUUGUGAUGAUGCAAUCUACCCGCGGCUAGACGGAAAGACCCCAUGAACCUUUACUGUAGCUUUGCAUUGGACUGUGAACCGGCCUGUGUAGGAUAGGUGGGAGGCGCAGAACUCGAGUCGCCAGAUUCGAGGGAGCCAUCCUUGAAAUACCACCCUGGUUUGUUUGCGGUUCUAACCUUGGUCCGUUAUCCGGAUCGGGGACAGUGCAUGGUAGGCAGUUUGACUGGGGCGGUCUCCUCCCAAAGCGUAACGGAGGAGUUCGAAGGUACGCUAGGUACGGUCGGAAAUCGUGCUGAUAGUGCAAUGGCAUAAGCGUGCUUGACUGUGAGACUGACAAGUCGAACAGGUGCGAAAGCAGGACAUAGUGAUCCGG
rnacentral:rRNA from 1 species